UGGGGAAUAUUGCACAAUGGGCGCAAGCCUGAUGCAGCCAUGCCGCGUGUAUGAAGAAGGCCUUCGGGUUGUAAAGUACUUUCAGCGGGGAGGAAGGUGUUGUGGUUAAUAACCCCAGCAAUUGACGUUACCCGCAGAAGAAGCACCGGCUAACUCCGUGCCAGCAGCCGCGGUAAUACGGAGGGUGCAAGCGUUAAUCGGAAUUACUGGGCGUAAAGCGCACGCAGGCGGUCUGUCAAGUCGGAUGUGAAAUCCCCGGGCUCAACCUGGGAACUGCAUCCGAAACUGGCAGGCUUGAGUCUUGUAGAGGGGGGUAGAAUUCCAGGUGUAGCGGUGAAAUGCGUAGAGAUCUGGAGGAAUACCGGUGGCGAAGGCGGCCCCCUGGACAAAGACUGACGCUCAGGUGCGAAAGCGUGGGGAGCAAACA
rnacentral:rRNA from 1 species